rnacentral:lncRNA from 1 species
GCUGGGAUUACAGGUGUAUGCCACAGCACCCGGCUCAAUUUACAUUUUUAAUAUCCAAGUAUAGGUGUUAAUUCUCCAAGGAAUACUGGAGUAGAAGAAAUUCAAAGAAUUUGAUUUUGAGGCAAGAAAUCACUCCAGACCUCAGCUUGGAAUAUUUAUUUAUAUUAAAUAGUUUAUUAAUAGUUAUAUUAAGUAGUUUGGUCUAAAGAUUAACUUUUGAGGCAUGCUAAUGACCAGCACCCAUGGGAAAUUCAAAGGGAAAAAACGCCUUCCAAGCCUUAGUUAUUAGUCAGUUUUCUCUUACUAUAACAAAUAUCUAAGGUUAAACUUAAAGAAAGAAAAUGUUUACUUUGGCUUGCAGGUUUGGAAGUUUCAGAUUGCUUAUGGGUCUGUGGUGAAACAGCACCUUGUAGUGUGGCAAGCUUCUCACCUCAUGGUGGCCCAGAAGUGAAAGGAAGAGGAGGGGCAGGGUCCCAAUAACCCCUUCAGGGUCAUGCCCCUUAAUGACCUAGUUUCUUCCCACAAUUCCCCACCUCCUAAAGUUCUACUACCUCCCAGUAGCGCCAUGGGCUAGAGACCAAGCCUUUAAUGUGAGGGGCCUUUGGGAGACAAACUAUAGAGGUGGGCAUAUUGAUGCAUACCUGUAAUCCCAGCAACUCAGGAGACUGAAGCAGGAGGAUCUGAGGUUUCAGGCUAGCCUCCACAACUUAGUGAGACCCUAUCUCAAAAUACAUAAAAAGGGCUGGGAAUGUAGCUCAGUGCUAGAUACCCCUGGGUUCAAUCCCCAAUCGGGGGGAAAAAAAGCCACAACAAACCUGUAGUAUCCAGUAUUUUUAGUGAGAAAUUAAAAAUAAUCUAGUCUUGAGACAGUUUUAGUGGAUGAGAUUUUUUUUUUUUCUCCUAAACUAGGGAUUGAACUCAGGGCCUCACACAUGCUAGGUAAUCUUUCUACCACUCUGCAAUAUUUCUAGUCCUAGAUAAAAAAAGUUUUUUAUAUAUGUCAGUUUAUGGUCCAAAUAAGAGAUGGAAACCAUGCAAAUUAUUUUAAUAAUAUGACAUAAAGAAUUGAUAGUAUAGUAACUAAAGAAAAGCAAAAAGUAGUAUUCAGGAAUCAAGGAAAUAGGGACUGUGGGUAUAUCUUUCAGUAAGAGAGUGCUUGCCUAGCAUGCAUGAGACCCUGAGUUCCAUCCCCAGGGAGAAAGAAGGAAAGAAGACAGAUCAGGGGAUGGCAGUUGGGGAAGAGCCUGAGGAUGGGUGUUGCUUCUCUGGUGUUGUGUCUGAGGCUGUUAGGAAGCUGGCUCUGAGCAGGUUGCAAAUGGCAGCUGGAGUCCCCUGCAUCUGUGGAACAAACUGCUUCCUCUGGAAAACACUGGCAGGGGCCAGCUGGCAAAGUGGAAGUGUCUGCAGAGCUCUGUCCCCAGUAUCACAAAAGCACAGUUAAAAAGAAUGGAUGUGGAGCGGAGGCAAGAACCGGAAUGCUACCCACUCCCGCUUUGCCCCUGGGUAUCUACAGGCCCUUCUAUUCCCAGGGCCACAAAAGCAACCCUUUCUGCCCCAGAGAAAUGACUAAUUGUAGAACUUCUCAUUCUCUUCCUCAAGAUGAAGAAAUGUGAGGCCCUGCAAACAUAUCAAUCUCUGGGCUCUGUUGAUUCCUCUACUUGAGCCAUAGUUCCAUCAGAAUAUAUAAUAACAAUGUUACUUAAGGAUCAGAGGAUAAAGUUAACUUUUCUAAAAAAAAAAAAUAUAUAUGAGCUCUAUCUCUGGCCACAUUUGGACAUUUCUUGUUUCUCCUAUAUCUGCUCAUGGCCUUGGGUCUGCUUUCCUUUGACUGCAGUCAUGCUGUCAGCUGAAAGUAUUAGCCAAAUCCUGCCCACUGGCCUACAUCUAUAUGACCUCCAGUCGGAUGCCUGGACAAAGAACCCACCUCUCUUCCAACAAUUUAUGGAAACAUGGCUCACUGAGGUGUUAGUUUGAGCCAAUAGCGUCAACAGCAGGCUUCUACAAACCUCAGAAUGUCCAUCAACAAACAUUUGCCUGGGCAGCAUGACGAACACAUGAUGAUGGAGAGAUGACGGGAAGCAGUGGGAUGUCUUUGGGGAGCUCAUAGGAAAGGGGAAAGGCAUGGAGAUAGGAGGGCCUGUUGGAGAUUUGUGGGUUCAAGUACAGUCAGUUUGGGCCUAGUCCAGUGGGCAGGUGACCUUCACUCACCCAAACUCUGGAAGUACAGAGAGUAGGGGGAUGGGUUUGUGCUGGAGAUGUUGCCUAUGGGCAAGACCAGCAUUUAUGCAGUAAAUUGUACCAUUUGCUGAAAACUGACUCUCUCUGCUAGGCACUAUAAUUACUUUACAUCAAUAUUUCAUUUAAAUUUCACAAUAGCACAAAAAUAAAAUGGAUCAAAGACCUCAGAAUUAGACCAGAGACUGCAAAUCCUGGAAGAAAAAAAUAGGGUCAACACUCCAGCUUUUACAUACAGGCAAAGACUUUAUUAAUAGGACCCCUAAAGCUCAGGAAAUAAUGCCAAGAGUUAAUAAAUGGGACAGCAUCAAAUUAGAAAACUUCUACACAGCAAAGGAAACAAAAAUGAAGAGAGAGCCUAUAGAAUGAGAGAAAAUCUUUGUUAGCUAUUCUUCUGACAGAGGAUUAAUGUCUAGAAUAUAUAGAGUUCAAAAGACUGUACACCAGGGGCUGGGGCUCUGGCUCAGCGGUAGCACACUUGCCUGGCAUGUAUGAGGCACUGGGUUGGAAUCUCAGCACUGUGUAUAAAUAAAGGUCUAUCAAUAAUUAAAAAAAAAUUUAAAAAGAAACUGUAUACUAAAAAAUCAAAUAACCCAAUUAAUAAAUGGGCAAUGAAUUAAACACAUACUUCUCAAAAGAAGAAAUACAAAUGGCCAACAAAUGGUUGAAAAAAUGCACAACAUCAUUAGCAGUUAGGGAAAUGCAAAUCAAAACUACAAGUAGAUUUUAUCUCACACGUCAGAAUGGCAGUCAUCAAGAAUACAAAUAAUAAUAAAUGCUGGAGAAAGUGAAGAAAAAGGAACACUUUUACAUUGUUGGUGGGAUUGUAAAUCCAACAAGACUAUGGAAAUCGGUAUGAAGAUUCCUCAAAAGACUAGGCAUGGAACCACCCAGCUGUACCACUCCUUGAUAUUUGUCCUGAAGAAUUAUUAAAGUCAGCAUGUUGCAGUGAUACAUACAAACUAUGGAACCAGCCUAAGUGUCCAUCAGUGGAUGAAUGGAUAAAGAAAAUGUGGUAUAUAUACACAAUGUAAUUUUAUUCAGCCAAAAGAAAAAUGAAAUUGUGGCAUUUGCCAGAAAAUGGAUGGAACUAGAGAUCAUCACUGUCAUGUCCGUGGUGGUGACUUAGAACAAAGCAGCCUAUGCAGGAAAGGAACCUCAAUCAUGCGCCGAGCAAAUGCCUGUCGGUCAGCAGGAUCUCCUGACAAAAGCCUGUCAAUCGUCAGGACCCCCUGACCAAUCCUGGAGUUCAGCCAGCUCCCCUGACCAACUCCAGCGGGACAGGGGACCUUUUCCUGUCCCAAGCUCUUCCCUUCCUGCCUAAGCCCCAUAAAAUCCCAAUCCGGUAGAGCUCCCAUGCGGUUUCUCCUCAGACCUUUCUCCUGUCCACUCUGUAGGUCUAAUCAAGUUCCGCCCAGGAGUG